rnacentral:tRNA from 1 species
AUUUAUUUAGUAUAUUAGUACAUUUGACUUCCAAUCAAAAAGUUCAUAGACAUGAAAUAAAUA